ensembl:snRNA U6 U6 spliceosomal RNA
GUGUUUUCUUUGGCAGCACAUAUACUAAAAUUGGAACAAUACAGAGAAGAUUAGCAUGGACUUUGAACAAGGAUGAAAAUAAAAUAGUUGCUUAAUCACAAAAGUCU